CCUUUUUGCAGCCCGUCUACCAGAGCGCCUGGCGCCUGGGCGCUUCGACUAUAUUGCCUCCUUGCUGCGGAGCCCUGGGGCCUGCCCCCUGCUGCAGGGUGGCCCCCUCGAAGAGGAACUCGAAGCCAAACAACAGUGAGGCCCAUUGGCAUGGAGGGAGGCUGAGGCCAGACUUCAUUACUGUGGAGGAGCCCUGACAUGGGCCUGAGAAGGUGGAGGCUAUUCUGAUUCUGAAAGGGUGGCUGCAGAGAAGAGGCUCUCUGGGGACGGGUGGCAGGAUGGAGGCCCCAAGAGGCCAGUGGUGGAGGCCUGCGAGUGGACACAGGUACCAGGCGGGAGCGGAGUGGGAGGUGUAAGGCCUCUCACCGGGCUUCUACCCUGUUGCCCUGGAACCUGUUCACCUCAGGUCACCCUGAAAGCUUGUUCCAUGAGGGCCACAUACCCACCCUGCCCCAGGACCAGACUGCCACGUGUCAGCAACUCUGUCUACACGUGAGCUGCCUGACCUGCUUACCACUGUGACCAGGCCUUUUCUGAUCUGCAUGUCUGGGUGUGUCUGUGUUGGCGGUGAGAUAAUGGAUGUGGUGGGAAUCACUGUGGGGAGGCGGGCUGUGGGACCUCUGGUGCGAUCCAUCACAGAGCAGUAUAAUAAAGACGCAAAUGAACCGG
rnacentral:lncRNA from 1 species